AGGACGAACGCUGGCGGCGCGCUUAACACAUGCAAGUCGAACGAGGCGGAGGGGGCAACCCCUCCAGUCGAGUGGCGGACGGGUGAGUAACACGUGGGUAACCUGCCCGGAAGUGGGGAAUACCUCGGGGAAACUCGAGCUAAUACCGCAUGACAUCUUCGGGACGAAAGUCCUGAUGAUCAAAGCGGGGUCGCAAGAUCUCGCGCUACCGGAUGGGCCCGCGCCCGAUUAGCUAGUUGGCGAGGUAAUGGCUCACCAAGGCUUCGAUC
rnacentral:rRNA from 1 species